CAGGCUCCGAGUAACCGAGCGGAGGCUGUGGGCGCUGCGCUGUGACCUCAUGCCAGUUGUGCGGCGUUGUGACGGAGCGUGUGGCACUGGGGGGGCUGAGGGAAGGGCCGGAGCCUGCUCACAUUGUGCUGUGCUCGAGCGGCGCUGCUGGGUGGGAAAGGCAGCGCUGGUGUUCUUUGUGUGCUGGUGGAUCCUGGAGCAACGUGGCACGCGUUAGUUAGGCCGCAGAGAGCCUGCACUGUGAGCACAGGGAUUUAGGUGUGUGUGUGUAGGGAGAACGGACCUGUGGCAUGCACGGACUGCGGGUGGCCCUUGUCUUGCUGCAAGGAUUUGGUAUCACUGGUCUGGCCUAGGAUUUCAUGGCGUUAAAAUAUACUUUCUGGUUCUGUAUUUUACCUCAGGGUUCGGGGGGAGGGAGUGGAGGGGAGCGUAAAAAUGUACAUUUUCCAAUUCUAACCCGUCUUUCUUAGCAAGGAGUGCGGCACAUUGUACUGUUGGGGUGCUUAUGUUUUCGGAGCAGUUUGGUGCUGGUUCCCACAUCUCAUUUUCAUAUGGUACGACAUAAAAUCAGCCUCUGCACCUCACCCAGCAAACAAACGUAACGGCUAAAAUUGCUGAGGCAAAUGAUGGUGAUUUGUUACAUUUAGAAAUGCUUGGCAGCACUUUUCCAGAUCUUAAUACGUUCACUGGUCUGGUUUGUUUCUUUUCUGUGCAGUGGCAACCUGGUGGGGCGUGAAGCUUGAAUUUCUGCUGGCUGCGUUAUGUUAAAGCAACUGGAAUGGAAGUUACUGAGUAUGUGACUAAUGUAGAAGAAUCCUGUACAAUAGACGCUACUUAAUGUGUUACAUAAGUAACGUGAGGUGGAGUCUGGUUGCAUAAGAAGCGGCUGGGGAUGGGGAGCUGCUGUACGCAGUCUGUAUGAGCUGCAAUUAGAGCCUGCAGGAAAGAAAGCCUGCAUGCAGGAGAGAAAGUUAGAACUUCAGAAGGGUUACUUGGGACAGCAAGUAUUGGAAGCAAUGGUAAAGCCUCGAGUUACUAUCACAUUUCACUCGGAACUGAAAAUAUGUAAUGAAAAAACAUAGUUUAAAAUAGUUCGUAUCAACUGACUGUUGUGAGAUACAUACCUGGUCUUAAGCAGUUAUUCUUAGAAACGUUCCUGACAGUUUAUUACAGUACUGUAUUCUGGUGUUACAAACAAGACUUAUGGUGUUACCCAAAACACACUUGAGAAUGUAUGAAUACCCGGCUUCCUUGGUGAUUGUUCUUAAUAAACUGGGUGUCACAGCUUCAGGAGGUGGACAGACAAGAAAGAGGUUGGUCAUGCUAUCAGGCAGAUAACUUCAAUACAUGAGAUCUUUGGAAAGAAUAAACAUAACUGAUGCUGGUUUUUGUAUUAAUCCAUUCAAUUAAAUCUUGUAUUUCUGUAAAGCAAUGGCCUGCUCUGCAACGCUUAGAAAUAUCAGCCUGCUGCUUUCUGGGAAGCAUAUUCCCCCGGGGCUUAAGUUCAGGGCUGAGUCUAAAGACUCUUAAUGCCUUUAUUGUGCUGUCUCUAUGAUACAACACAGGCGUUUGUGAUGGAAAUAUUUCUGUGGUCAAGUGGAAGUUCUUUUUUUUGGGGGUGGUCUGUUAGAUAAAUGGGAAUGCUUUUGAUAUGAAUACAGAAGCUUUCUGAAUGUGGAAUAAAGAAAUGAUGCAUUACUCCUGCAUGCAAUUUUGUUAUUUCUCAUCUGGUGUCUUUUUACCCCAGUACCAGGUGUGAGCUCUGGAAGAAGAAUCCUUCCUCUCCCAUGUUUUAACCUUUGCUGUACUUGCUCCAGCCCUUGUACAGCAAAGUGUUUACUGUGGUUGACUGUGUUCUGGUGCACAUUUGAGGAAGUGAAAGAGUUAAUGCGGGAUUUGGAUUAGAGGACUGCCUGGAUUUCUCAAUGUAGAAUCUGACGUCCAGCUUCCAAAAGAGACCAUUUCAUAGGAUAAUCUGUUUCCCAGUGUUUUGAAUGCAGGUAUUACCACUGCCUUUUGAGUCUUCCUUUCUGUGCUCAGGUGAUCCUAAAACAUGAGCUAGUAUGUAAAGCACUGCCUGAAAUGCAGUCCUCACACCAUUUUCAAUAGGUAGAACUAAUGUUUCCAAUCCUAAAUAAAGUUCUUGUUUGGAUGAAAAGGGCUGUCUGUUUUAAUUAGAUACAGUUAAGGUCCGUGUACCUCAUUUGAGAUACUGAAAUUUUUUUCACAUAUUUUUAAAUGAAAAUAUUCCUUAAUGGUGAAUGACAGCCAUGUAAACUACUGCUAGACUGUGAGUAUUUGUUGGAGGAAAAGCAUGUUUUCAGAGUGUGGUUUUUGGACUUCCAGACUGAUUACACAAGCUCAAGAAGGCCCACCCCACAUCCUGUGUAGAAAGCCAGUUCACAGAAAUGCCCAUUGUUCAUCAGGAUUAUAAGUCACUGUACUUUCUGCCUAGUCCCUUUUUCAAAGCACUAUAUGGAAAAUCUUAAAGUAAACGAAUUUCAGCAGCUUAACAAGUGCUUGGUCCUGCCAGGUACUGAGCACUGCUCAUACUGAAAUGGAGGGAGGGGGGAAUAAACACACUGUCCUCUCUGGCUAAAAAACAAAGGUGUUGUGCUGAUUAAAAACAGCUGAGGGUGUUUUAUUAGUUCUGUGAAUCAAUUGAUAAUUUACGUACUUUGAGCCUGAAAGUUGUGGCAGCCAUGCCAGUAUUUACUUUCUUGGGGACAGGAGAGGAGCUACAAGGAAUGUAGUUUGCUAUAAGCCUGGUAAAUUUGUCUUGGCAGUGCUUCCUACCCGCUCACUUGCUAAUGUAGAAGGAGGAUGGGGUGUCUGGAUCUCACACCCCACACUGCUGAGAUCUAUGCCACUGCCUCCAAGUUAACCAGACCUAUCCAUGAAGAAGGAACCUAUUGACUACUUGCUCAGCACUUUUGUUUUUUUCCUUCUUCACCUAAACUAUUAACGUGGAGAAUAUAUUUUUGAAAGGUGAGGGGCAGUUUGAUAUGUUUUCUAACUGGAAAAAGUGUUUCAAGAUAAAUCUUAAAUUUUAUUCUGUGUUUUUAUUUAUAUACAUAUAUCUAUUCUCUGUGUGUGUAUAUACAUAUACAUAUGAAUAAAAACACCAAGUACGAUAAACUUGGUAGAGUUCAGUAUCUGUUUAGGACCAAAAUAUCGGUUACAAUGCUGGUGAGCACAAGCCUGCCAUGGGAAUAUUCAGGGCUGCAUUGUGCUUUACAGCAGCCCUCUGAAAGGAAUCACCUCUCUUCAGUUGUUGCCAGUCCUCCUGACUGUUCAGCAUUCCCCAAACAUGUGGCCCAGAAAAUGGGAUUAUAAGGGAAGGCAUUCAAGUAAACAGAAGUUCCCUCAGGACAAGAUUUGCUUUCUCAUGUGGAGCUGCUGCAUGCUGCAGCCUGGCUGCUGCUGGCCCCAUCCCUGGCCAGGGUCUGGCGCUGCUCCUCCAAGUGAGCCAGCUCUGAUGCUGGCAGGGUGUGCAGCCUGCCCCUGUGCUGGGGGGAACAGUCUCCUCCUGAAUAGCUGGCACAGCAGAGCCACUUCACUGUAGUUUUGGAAGGGCUCACCUGAUUCCAAGUAAGGGGAGCUCACCCUUUCUGUGUCUUUUCUGUGUCUGCAUGUAGCAGUAAAUGUCUGGUCCCAUGGUGCGGAGCUAGCUGCCAAAAAUGUGCAGUGGGCUGUAUCCAGCAGUGACUGUACAGUACUGCUGAAGUGGCCCAGUGUGUUCAUGCAGUGAGUUCCUGGAUAAGUGGCUGGUUUUUUACAUUUGUUUCUUUGAACAACAGUUAUAUUGGUGGGUAAUAACGCGAUUAUCUCAGUGAUUGUGUGGUCCUGUCCAGCCUGUUUCUUGAAAGUGCUCGUCCUCAACCUCAGUCUGUAGUUUGAGCACUCUCGGGUUCUGUGUUGAGUCAAAACAUUACAUCAGCCUCAGCGAGGAGCAUUCCCAGUCCUGCUCCCUCGUGGUCUGCAUCUGGUGCUGGCCUUGCCAAUUCACUCAGUGGUUUCUGCUCAGCAGGGUUAUGCGGUGUGAGAUAUAUCAAGUCACAGAGCCUUUGGACUUUGUACCUUUCAGCGUAUUUUCUUUCACAAUUAAAAAUAAAGCUACAAAUCUCAGGUGCCUUUUGUCCUUCUUUUUCUCCAAGAGAUGUCAGUCACUGCAGUGAUGGUUCCAGUGGUAGAAGUCAGCAUGUGCUGACUGUGAGACUUCAGAAUCUGAUGGUCUUGUCUCAGCUUCUAGAGGUACCACAGCAUGGAGACUUCAGUCUUCAGAGGCUACAGUCAGAAAUGCUCCUUAAGACAACAAGAGUUCAUCACUUCACAUGCAUGUGCUCCAGGCUGGCUGGCGUCACGUUGCUGAUGGCCGUUAGUGGGGAGUGUUGAUUUCGUGGUCUGUGUGGGACAGAAUGCAGACUGGUGCCUCUGAGAUUCUACAUGUUAUGUGUUUUUUCCAUUACCUUUCUUCAGGGGUGACUGAAGAGAAACUGUUAGACUUGUUGCAUUUGGCCUCAGUGUGAAGCUUUGAACGAAUUCAGUGGUAAGAAUUCUCAGUUUUCUGAAGAAACUGAAGCCUGCAACUUUGCUUUCUUGUUCUAUACUGAGCAGCCCUGUGAGCAGAGAAGCCAGCCCAGUUCCUGCCCUGCUCAGAAGCACUGAGUUCAUGCACCUGUGUACUCCCUACAUUAGUCCAAACAAAGAAUUAUUUGCUACAGAUUCAAAGUUAAAAAUAGCCCUGCCAUUUUGCUUGUUGCUAGAAUGGGUUAACUUCUUUCCAAAGCAUUUGAAAUGUGUAACUCAUUUAUGAAAUCAGAAGCGGUAAAUUCAGGGCCUAUAACUCACAACACAGAUGACUGUGGAGUUGCCAGGAGUGACUGCACUCAGGAGUAAUGUCAGCGUCACAGAUGGGCACAGCUCACAUGUCUAUAGAGGGUCCUGUUUGCUGCGCUGGUGGGUAUGCGGUGCAUGAGAGAGCAGGCUGCCUUGGGGUAAUGCUGGCCUACAGAUGGGUCUACUGAUGAUUCUACACCUUUAAUUCUCUUCCAGGUUGGAAAGUUCUGUACCAAAGUCUGUGUAAAGCUGAGAGCUGUUUGUUUCUCAACAUAUUUUCUAUAUAAAUGAGUCGUAUAUUCAUUAUAUUUCAAAUGUACUAGUUAAAAGAACAGGAUUGUUAGAUCAGGUUUUCCAAAGCUUGAGAUUAAUUAUAUUUUUAAUACAUCCAGGUUUAUAGGGUCUGCUGAAUUAUGAGGGAGAGUAAUGACACAUUUACCGUAUUUUCCAAACAUGAGGUAGAAUGCAUAGAUCCAACAACAGGGAACUGAAAACGUCUUGUGAAUAAUAACAGCAACACCUGCUUGUAUUUCACUUCAUAAUUUCUGUGUGGGGUUGUUUAUGUUGUAGAAAAUUAUCUUUUAUGAACAAGCUUUUGAGGGCAAUGGUACGUUGCUAAGGCUGCAGCGUUUUAUAUUAUGCUGUGCAGAUUCUGUCUCGUAAAUCAAAGGAGACAGAUAUCCAUGACCUCAGCUCCAAGAGCUCUGUAGUUAGCAUUGAUUUAAAUUAACAUGGUUUAUAUGGGAAGGAGCUUUUUAGAAAUCUUGGAAAAUUGGAGUCUUAUUCAGUGGAGGGCAUGUGGCAUUGAAGCACUGACUGGCUGCUGCCAGCUGCCCAUUUGGCUUCAGCAGGUUGUGCGCUAUUAAAACUAACUGAAACCUGCAGGUAGGGCAUGCUGCUGAGUUAAGUGGAAUCAACAUAAUUGCUUGGUAAUAACGAGUUGUAAGCCAAGCAGAUAUCCUUACGGGAGUCUUUACCAAUUCAUUUCAACCUGUUCACUAAUGUAGUGCAUCAUUUAAUGAUUCAACAAAGUUGAUCAUGUUACCCUGGUUAAUGCGAGCUUCCUUUCCUCCUCAGUUCACCUAGAUUGUGGCGCUGGCAGUCAGGUGAGAGAGUUCACCUGAGUGUGCUUAUUAAGCAGGAAACUGAUCACUUUCCUUGUAGCAGCCACUUGAUGCUUUUUAGCUCUGAGUUGGCUUCUCAUGAGGGUCACGUGAGUACCAGGGCUAGUGCAAGUGAAGCAGAAUGGGGAACCUGCUGCUUUUUCAGCAGUCAGUGAUAGUAGUAGUAGUAAAAAAAAAGAAAAUGCAAGAAGUGCUGGUUAAUAUCACUGGCAACCAAGUAGAGUAACUCAGUGUGCAAACCCCAGCCAGUUUUAUCUGGGUCAUUAGACUGGUGUCAAAGUACUGAAUUCAGUUUUUAGACUAAGUAAGACAUUAGAAGGUCAUCAUCACCUUGGAAAAAACCUUCAUUUUCCAUGUGAAGUUGAAAGGCCCUGAGCACCCUCUCUGAGGACUGGGUUUUACUGUUACGAGUGACACUAGAGAUUACUAAAACUGGAAGAAGUCAGAUGAACCAAUCACUAUUUCAUUUCUGUUUAGCUCAGUCGUUAGUGUUCUUGGCAGCGUUUCAUAUGUAUUCAGUUUCAGUGGGGUUUUGCUUCCUGUCUUAUUUAUUAACAUAGUGAUGUCAUUCCUGUGUACCGCUGUGGGGGAGCGUGGUUGUAUGUUCUUCCUCAACCUCUGCAGGAAAGGCCUGGCCCUCCUGUCAGAUGACUUUGGUUGUACUUUGGUGGGAGGGUCCCCUAUUUUGUGACCCUCUGCAUGGAAAUGUAGAGCAGAGCAGGAGGAGGGGCCAGCAAAAGGAUUUCAUGCUUCUGUAGGAGAGACUUGUAGGACUGUCCAUCUUCACCUCCUGUCAGUGAGCAGCCAGAACCUUUGUGAUCCUGUGGGAAGGCAGGAAUGGGCAGGGAAACCACCUAGCCCUGAAGCAAGCAAAGCAAUGCAAUCCAGGAGCAGGAGCGCCAGCUGUAUCCCUCCUCCUUUGGCUGGGGACUGAGUGUGAGAGGAACAUACUGAGGAGGCCCCAUCUGCGUGGUGUUCUUUGGAGACCAGGAGAGCAGCAGGCACUGAGCAGAACGUGUGAUUUGUUCCUCUGGCAUGUCCUGAGGAGGCAGCAGGUGUGGGAGUGGUUUUUCCAUGGGGAUAUCUCUGGGAGCAGGCAGGUCCCAGCACAUCUGGGCAGGUAGGCUUGGGCCUGCUGCUCUUGCUGUGGCCUGAAGCGUGCAGCAUGCACCAGCCUGGGCUGUACAACAGGAGCAGUCAUUAUGCAGAAAGCUUGAAAUGAUAGAAAUCUGCAUAUUAAAAUCACUUUGGAAACACUUCCGGAAGACACUUUGUCCCAUUUAAUCUUGUUGGAAGGGUCUCUUCCAGCAUGAGUCAUUUGCAGCUGUAGAGGACCCAGGGCAGAGCCCUCCUCUUCUUUGCUGAACAGGGUUGUCAGAGCUCCCAGGGUCAACGCUGGGAGAAAAAUACCCUGAUUCAUUUCCCAACCAAAUACACACAGGAGAACUCCCCACAGGGCUGCUGCUGGGGGGAGGGGGGAAGGAGGGAGUUGUGGCUUUGGUUUUUCAGUCACUCUGCUCUACAUAAGCAACAUUAUGCAGCUCCAAGGUCCCGCCCAGAGGACUGUAACAGCCCAUCUGCCCAUCCCCAGGCAGCACACAAUGGUGUUGAUAUGACUGUUGCUACAGAGGAAGUGGCUUCUGUUAUAACCAGAGAGCAAUCUGCCAAAGUCCACAGCCUGGGUAGCUGCCAAACUAAGUUUGACAAAAAUACUUAACUUUGACUUUCAUCUGAGCUUUCUCUGAAGAUAAUUCUCCUACUUCCUACCACUGAUAUCUCACUUAUGCUAGGAUUCUUAUUUUUACAUAAAAUAGUUUAUGCUUUUACCAAAAGAAAGUUAAUUCACAACAGAUUAAAAUCUUUAUCAUGAAAAUUGUGUGAAAUGUUGUCAGUGCAGUAGCAGAACUGACGUUAGGCUAUAUGCAGCUCAAAGCGUUGCUCAAGGGCGUUUUUGUGCCCUCUGCCAUUCCUGCUCCGAGCUGUUCCUGUUCUUGAUCUGACUUGGACGCUGGAAAUACUACAGGGGUACUACAGCAGAGAACACAGGGUGUGAAAGCCUUGGGAUAUUUGAGGCCUCAGGCGCCCCCUUGUGCCCUUUUUUUUUUUUUGUGUUGCAAUGCCAGCAAAUGCAUGAGAUGCAGGCUGCACGUACGAAACAGCUGAGCCUCAGCUGCACCAUUGCGUGGGGCCUGGGCUGUGCUCUGGAACUUGCAUCGUGCUCAGUGAUAGUUUGGAUGCUGGCAGGAGUGGCUGACACACCAGAAUGCUGUGCUGCCAUUUAUUCAGCAAGACUUGAACAGGCUUGAGAGUUGGGUGGAGAUGAACCUGAUGAGAUUCAAUAAUGGCAGGUGCACUUGAGUAGGAAUAACCAUAUGCAUGAGUACAGGUUAGAUGCUGACAUGCUGGAAAGGAGCUUCACAGAGAAGGACCUGAGUGUCAGCGGGUUGGCCAUGAACCAGCAGUGUGCCCUUGUAGCCAAGAAGGCCAAUGGUAUCUUGGAGUGCAUUAAAAAAAGCAUGGCCAGCAGGUUGAGGGAGGUGGUCCUCCCCCCCUACUCUGCUCUGGUGAGUCCACAUCUCAAGUACUGUGUGGUUCUGAGCUCCCCAUUUCAGCAAAGACAUGGAACUGCUAGAGAGAGUCCAGCAGAGACCACAAAGAUUAUUGAGGGCCUGGAGCAUGUCCUAUAUGAGGAGAGGCUGAGAGACCUGGGGCUGUUCGGCCUGGAGAAGAGAAAGCUGGAGAGAGAUAUUGUCAAUGCUUAUAAAUAUUUAAUGGACAGCAGUCAAGUGUAUGGGGCCCAGUGGCAGAAAAAGGAGCAAGUUUCAAAUGAUUUUAAGAUGCAAAAGCAAUUGAACAUAAUGCAUACAGUGUGUUCUGUGGGGAUUAAAGGUGUAGCUUAUUUCCGUCAUACUGACCCUGAGAAGUUUUAGACUGGGCCACCUGCCAAUUCCGUGGUGACAAUUCUAGCUAAAUAGCAGUUUCUAUCAAUGUACUUCUCCUGAGUUUGUUUCAUAUAGCAGUAGCUAGAAUAUUAAGCAAGAGUGACCAUGGCAUACUUAGCCAGGAUCCAUCUACUUCAGUAUCCCAUCUCCAGCAGACACUGUAAGUGAAUACCAUAAUGAAAGCCUAAGAACAGGUCAAGUAUAAAUGCUUCUUUGUUCACUGUUCUCACAGCCUCUGACCAUUUUCAAUUCUCAAGCCGAUUAUGGGUUUUGUAUAUUUAGCAAACAUUGAACAGAUUACUUUGCAAGAUUGUCUAGUCUUCACAACAUCCUUUGGCAAAGAGUUCAGGAAAUCAGCUGACCCCUGGAUGAGGAGCCACCUCUUUGUGUUUUUUCUUUGUGUUGAACUGCCUGUUAUCUUCAGUGAGUGUUACCUCAGCCUUCUGUUGAAAGAAAAGUGAGCAGUGACCAUCCAAUGCGCUCACAAUUUUACAGUCCUCUGUUAUAUCCUUCCACUUGUCUCUUUUUUCAGUCUGAAAAGUCCUGUCUUAUUUAAUGGAAAUUGUACUGUAUCUGUAAAUAAUAAAAUCUGUAAAUAUAAAAUAAAAAUCCUGACAGUUGCUUUGAGUCUUGAAUUUCUACUGGAGACUGAGUUAAGGCUUUAGGAACUUCCUUAUCAUAACUUCAGUGUUUUACUUCUGAGUGCUAAUGGUCAACUCUGAAUACAUGCAGGAGCAGGUAUGUGCAAAGUUAGAAUUGCUUUUCUUCCUGUACAUCAUUUUGCACUUAGCUCCAUUGAAUCCUACUUGCUAUUUUGUGACCAGUUAAUUCCUGUCUGGUCUGUUGCUCCUCAUGCUCACUACACUGAAUAUCACAAAGCUGUCAUAAUCUUGUCCACCCCUUUUCCUAGUAUGCUGAACCUGACAGCUCUAUCAUGAGUCUCCGAGGAGCUGUGCUGAUGAACUUUGUUUACUGAGUGUGUGUUGACCAGAUAGAAAAAGUUUUAACCACCUCUUCUGCCCUGCAAGGACCUUUCCUUAAAGGCUUUGUUAUGGUUAGAAGCUGGCUGGCAACUCAACUAUGUUUAUCAACCAAGCCAUUCUCAUCCAUGGACCUUAUGAGCCCUUCAAAGAAGCUUGAUAAUUAUUUAAUGCAGACAGUCUUGGUUCUUCCAAGGUGUCUCAUGUUUAAUAAUAGAUGUUUAAUAAUUUUAUUCCUUGUUAAAGUUUAUACUACUUGCUGAUAGGUGAAGUCACCAGAGAUGACGAAAGAAACAGGUUUUUUGAGUAGUUAGACCUCUUGCAAAGUGCUGAGUGAAGCUCUUUAAAAGGCAGUGCAAUUUGAAUGGUUUGCAUAGCUGAGAUAGCUAAUGUAAAUGGAUUCAGGAACAAAUCUUAGCAGAAUCAGCCAUUCCCCAGCACAGGCUGUUGUCACUAAUAAUUUGAUCAAAGCAUGUGGAUAUAGUCGUUUUUUUUCAUUACUACCUACUGUAAAAUAACAGCAAAAAGCUCCUUGUGGCUGCAGAAUGUAACAUCUGUGUCUGAAAACCUGACAGUGUCAGGUCAGAGAUGCAGCUGUUGAUAAGAGAUGAUUUGCAGAUCUACUCCAAAAAUACCCAGUGAAAGACAAAAUAAGAGGUAAAAAAAAUUCUCCAACAAAUCCAGCAACUUGGAAAUAAUUAUUCUCUUUAUGUUACAAGUCACCCAAAUUAUGGCUCAGUGAAUAAUGCAGUGACAGUUUCCAGAAGAGUGGCAGAUGUUUCAUAUAAUACAAGAAUGCACUUAUUAACAUAGGCCUGUUAGAUCUGUGUGCGCACAGUUUGUGUAAGAACUCACACUGAUGAGGUACGAGGGCUACACAGUUUGUAAACGGAUCAGUUCAAAUUGAUGCACUGUACCUCAUUCAUUGGUUGUUUUGCUUUGUGUGUAUGCUUUUCUCUAUAAUACCCAGUAGUAAGUGUGACACAAUUAUAAGCAUCAUAUCCUGCAUUUACAGGAAGAAGGAAAAGCUGAGUGUGUACAUAAAUAUUCCCUGCAGAACUGGUCUGUGUCAGUCCGUAUUGUGCACUGCAGUGGUUAACUCUUCUUAAAAAAGAAGAAAUGUUUGAAUUCAUCUACUUUCUAGAUGAAAGGGGCCAACUCUGAGCUCUGACUAUUGCCACAUAGAGCUGUUGCAUGCAAGAUUAUCUUUCCAGAUAAACAUGAUAAGUGUUCGAAUGAAUUUAUCAAUAAUCAGUGGAAAGGAUGUCAAAAUACAGUCUGUUACUGUA